rnacentral:rRNA from 1 species
GAGUUUGAUCAUGGCUCAGAUUGAACGCUGGCGGCAGGCCUAACACAUGCAAGUCGAGCGGUAGAGAGAAGCUUGCUUCUCUUGAGAGCGGCGGACGGGUGAGUAAUGCCUAGGAAUCUGCCUGGUAGUGGGGGAUAACGCUCGGAAACGGACGCUAAUACCGCAUACGUCCUACGGGAGAAAGCAGGGGACCUUCGGGCCUUGCGCUAUCAGAUGAGCCUAGGUCGGAUUAGCUAGUUGGUGAGGUAAUGGCUCACCAAGGCGACGAUCCGUAACUGGUCUGAGAGGAUGAUCAGUCACACUGGAACUGAGACACGGUCCAGACUCCUACGGGAGGCAGCAGUGGGGGAAUAUUGGACAAUGGGCGAAAGCCUGAUCCAGCCAUGCCGCGUGUGUGAAGAAGGUCUUCGGAUUGUAAAGCACUUUAAGUUGG